rnacentral:SRP_RNA from 1 species
GGCGUCCGUCGGUGACGUCCCCCGGUGAACUGGGUCAGGGCCGAGAGGCAGCAGCCCUAAGCCGUUCUCGGACGGGUGCCGAGCCGGGCGUCCGU